CCCUUAGAUGUUCUGGGCCGCACGCGCGCUACACUGAUGCAUUUAACGAGCCUAUCCUUGACCGACAGGUCCGGGUAAUCUUUGAAUCUGCAUCGUGACGGGGAUAGAUUAUUGCAAUUAUUAAUCUUCAACGAGGAAUGCCUAGUAGGCGCAAGUCAUCAGCUUGCGUCGAUUACGUCCCUGCCCUUUGUACACACCGCCCGUCGCUCCUACCGAUUGGGUGUGCUGGUGAAAUGUUCGGAUCGGCCGUUUGUCGCGGUUUCCGCGGCUCGUGGCUGAGAAGUUCAUUAAACCCUCCCACCUAGAGGAAGGAGAAGUCGUAACA
rnacentral:rRNA from 1 species